UGUUUUGAAGGUCCUCUACAAGCUUGGGCAGCAACUUCACUUCAGCAUUGUGCUCCUUCACUUGCCAUGUCGGUAUCUACACAAAUGUCCUUAGAAAAGGACAAACAAUGUUAGCUCGUUUUGGUGGCAAUCCCCUCAGUUCGCUCCACACAACGUCUCCUUUUUCCACUAUCAGAUUAUCACCUUGCACACCCUUACCCCUCUCAAUAUUUUGUAUCUCAUAAGCAUUUGGAUUGGAGUAAGUAUUCACUUCUCUUUGUGGCUCGAUCGGCAUGUAUGUCAUGAGGUGAUUUCUCCACCGGUCUCUUACAAUAUUAGGCCAAUUUUGCACAUUUGGAACUCUAUG
rnacentral:lncRNA from 1 species